CUCAACCUGCACAUUUAGAAAUACAUGCAGGGCUGAGUACAAAGUACUCAGUAGACAUAUGCCGAAAAUCAUAUACAUAUUAAUAAACUAUAAAUUGUCAUGCCAUUUCAAAAGUAUAACCAGGGAUUUUUACUUAUAAAGGCCCAGGCAUACUAAAUUCGUUUGUGAUUCUAAAGUUCGACUGAUCAGUCUAAGUUCUUUUGUAUUCUAUCAUAUCUGAAGCUAUGUGCCGGAGAGGUGGCCACCCCUCACGGACACUUGACCGGCCAACUCGCUCGAUGACUCACGGUCACUGUGUACACUAAUCCCGGCAGGAUAGCUAUCCGCUCAGGAUCCGAAUUCGAUUAUAAACAAGCAGAUAGAUAUCAUACUAAAAUCUAAAACAUUUAUGGCAAGACAAUAGUUGAAAUAAUUUCAAUUCAAAUAUUCCUGAAAAUAAUAACUUGCUCGAAUGUAAACAUUUACUUUGCUGGAUAUAUAUAUGAAAGUAAUGCCUACCUGUUGUAGAGUUUCGCUACUAAGGCAGUGAUUCUCCCGAUAGCACCGACUCCCACACUUGACCUUUUAUUAGGAAUAUAAGGUAAGUCGUUUGGGAAUCCUUAAUAAUGAGAAUGCAUGUUUACUAUGAAGUCCUUAUUAACCGGAAAUUAUUAUUCUAAGAUAAUAACUCGAGUAGUUUUAUUAAUAAUCAUGACUAUGAUUAUAUAACAAAACUAAAUUAAAGACUUGACUAACGAGUUAGAUUAAUAGCACAUGUUAAUAAUAAUCUAAUUUAAGGAAAUAAUUAAUAGACUAAGUAAUAUGAAACAUGAUUCCCUUAAAUCAAUAAAUAACUCUCAUCUAGAUUAGUCCAUAAUAAAGACAAUAAGUCUAAUUAAUGGAAUAAUCCAUUCUAAUUAGAAGUAAUAAAAUAAAAUAGGGUUUCAAUAAUUAACUACUUAAAGGAACUAAGUAAUUAGUAAAACUUAGUCAAAUUACCAAUUAAUCAAGGCUUAAUUAAAAUAAAUUAAAAGACCAUAAAUUAAAUAAAUGAAAUCUGUUAGCCCAUUUUUUUAUAAAUAAAACUAGCCCAAGAUUCUGAAGCCUAAAAAAAACGCAGCCCAAUUUCAGUUUUGUUUUAAAACCUUGGCCCAAAGUGGAGGCCCAAAUUUAAGCCUAUUUACCUCUCUCUCUCUCUCUCUCUACGUCUCUUAUCCCACUCUCUCUCUUCAAAGAAACGCACACACACAGACGCACAUCUCAUUCUCUCACGCGAUCUGUCGCCGCCGCCUGAGACCGGCGAAGGAUCCGUCGUCGCGCCGUCACCCGCUCCGCCUGUAAUCUCCCAGUGAAACCGCCGCCGUCUGGAGCCAUCGCCGCCGUCUGGAGCAGCUGCCAUCGUCUGGAGCUGCUGUUGCUUCGCCUGGAGUCGCCGCCAACUUCUGUUGUUUCGCCGGAGUCGUGGCCUGGAGUUGCUGCUGCUCGUUCGGUGGUCAGCGGCUCGUUAGGGGAGCGCCGUCGUCGGCCGCUGCUGUUGGCAGCAAGAGCCCGACAGCCGCCUCUCCCGGAGCUGCCGUCGCCGUGAGUCGCAGAGCUCCGACAGUCCACCAUCCGCUCUCUCUCGUUUUAUCACUCACGAUAGGGAGUAGGAGGAUUUGCAGCCUUUGAGAAGAAUGCGGAUCAUGCCGUAGAGAGUUGAGGUGAUUUGAGAUGUCAGCAGACUUUGAAAAACAAAUUUGCAGCUUUUGAACAGAAAGAUUUGCUACACUAGAAAAUCUGUAGCUUUUGAAAAAAAAGGUGGCUGAAGUAAUGAGGUGUUAGAGGGGAUGGUGGAAUAGUGUAGGAUUUUGAUGUGACUAUGUAUCGAGAUCUAAUUUCUCAUAGUUCGGACUUGUUUGUGUAAUAA